rnacentral:rRNA from 1 species
GAAUUUUAUAUUAAAAUAUUUUAGAUUAGUUUAGUUUAAAUAUGGGGUAUUUAAUUGGGAGGAUUAUUAAAUUUAGUAAACUUUAAUAUUAAAUUACAUAGAUUAAUGAAUAAUUAAUAAAGAUUGAUUUUAAAAUGAUUAAAGAGUAAAUUACCUUAGGGAUAACAGCGUAAUAUUUUUAGAGAGAUCAUAUUAAUAAAAAUUAUUGC